rnacentral:pre_miRNA from 1 species
AUAACGUAGAUCUCAGCCCUCCAAACAAAUCCAACGGUUGAAAUUCGUCCAUGUCAUCACAAGUUAAAAUUUAACUCGUAGGAGUAAAAAUUUUACUAGGAGUAAAAUUUCAGGAUUUUAACUCGUGAUGAUGUGGACGAAUCUCAGCCGUUGUAUUUGGUUUGGAGGGCUGAGAUCUACGCUGU